AAGUCGUAACAAGGUUUCCGUAGGUGAACCUGCGGAAGGAUCAUUAACUAUAAAGGUACUUUGGUACCAUUAACCUUGUGCAACGCCAAUCUAGUAUUGGCACACGCAGUAUGCGUGGAUCUAUAUAUUUUUACGAGUCUGAAUCUUUAAUCAAUGUAUUAAAAACAACUUUUAACAAUGGAUCUCUAGGCUCUU
rnacentral:misc_RNA from 1 species